rnacentral:lncRNA from 1 species
UAAUUUCCAAACCCCCAUUGACCUCACAUGAUCUCAUCUCUCUUCUCUGUCAACCUAACCCUAAUCAUUCUUCGACCGCCGCCUCCUUCUCUCGUCAUCUCCAGCAACCACCUUUAAAUCCUUAUGCUUUUAAUGGGUCUUCCAUCGCAUUGCUCAUCAUCUCUGAGGCCUUCAAAGGUCCUGGGCCAUGCUGAUAGGGAUCUAGGGUUCCUGUUUUUAUCGUUCAUGGCUAUUCCGGUGUGAUUUUGGACAAAAUCAUACCACAUAUGUUAUGAUCUAUGAAGUUUACGACAA